UUUCUUUCUCGACUCUUACUCGGUGUAUCCGUCGAAAGCGAAUUCGACGAGCCUGAUUUUUCUGACGGCGUUUCACCGCGAUUUGAGGUUCUUCCGGCGGCAUCUGGGUCCUCUGGCAUCAGAGUAUCGGUAAUCAAGAACGGCGACGCAGGACGAUGCCGAUCAGCUACACCAACAGCAGUACCUCGGUAGCAAGCUACGACAGCGGAUGUGCUAAAGCCGAUGGGAAUUUUGGGAUUCCUCAGCGAUGUUACUGUGGCUGAAACAUCAUCAUUGAAGAGUCCACAGCUCCUGCAACAAUGGGAGGAAGUUUUACACAUGUCCUACAAUCUUGGGAGAGGAUAGUCCAGAUCACAUUUGGAAAUGGUGGGAUGAAGCUGUUGAAGAAAAUUUUACAAUUCUACAAAUCAGGAUUGAUCAAGUGAGUGGAAGGAUUGACCCCUUCCAUAGGACUGAGCUGCUGCAGUCAUAUGAGAAUCGGAUGUACAUCAUGGAGCCUCUGAUCGAUAGAAACACUGAUGAUAUAGGAGAAUUGAAGGAAGUAGUGGUGGAGAUUCAACAAAAGGUGGCUCGGAUGAAAGAAGCAAUGAAGUUGAGAGGUUCUGACUUUCUCCUUAUCCUGUUUAUGGUAAUUUUUGGUGCUAUCUCUUUUCUCUUUAUGUGUUGGGAAUUAGUCUAGAAGACUAAUCAACUUUGUAAUCGUAGAAACUGGUUUAGGAACUUGGAUUGUUGUUUGUUGUUUUUUAAGAACUUGAUUGAUAGUUGCUCAUUGAUUGUUCUAGUUUGAGAACUUCAAUCCUCAAGUCUGUAAUCCUUUCUUUUUAAGACCUUGAAUGAUGUUUGUAAUGAUUUUUUUUUUUUAUUACUUCGGUGUUAUGUUGUUGUUCUAUAUUGUUGGGAAACUAUGUUCCUUCGGCCUAUAUGUGCCUAUGCAGGAAUGGGAUAAAGACAAGCGUUGCAGAUUUGACAAUUUCUGAGAAACUAUUCUCUUCUUUAAUUUUUAUAUCUCUUGAACGACUUGGGUUUGAUGAAUGUUUAUGCUUUAAUGUAGGGAAAGCGGCCGAUACAUGCCUUAACCGCAAGAAUUGGUACCAUUUAAUGCCUAUACUUUGAUGCUGUGCCUAUACGUACCUGAACUCUUUAAAAUGUGUAAAUUCAUUCCCGAACUAGAACUUUUAUGGCCAAAUCAUGCAUUGACUUUUUAUCUGUUAGUCAACUCCGUCAAAAUGUUAACGGGGCUGACUCACUUGCCACGUUGGAAUCUCUGAGAUAUGAUGCUAUGUCGUUUUGUAUAUUUCUGGGGAAAAAAAAAUUUGCAAGCUCAAAGAUUCAAACCCUGCACCAUCCCUACUUGUCCGAGCCCGAAAACCAGUAGACCAGAUGUAGUAAUUAAUAACGUAUCGCACACUUAAACAAUAUAAACUACCCAUAACCAUUAUUUAAAAAAAAAAAUACGACGUCGUAUUGGUUUGGUUAUUCAUCUUUUUUUAAUGAAGAAUCUAUCUUCUUCUUCGUCGAGGUCUGUGUUCAAAUUUGGGGAAAAACUGAGCAAACGGAUCGAAAUCUUCAUUGUCGUCACCAUUAACCGAUUUCUACUCUUAAUUCUUCUUCUGCUGCUUCUCCUUCUUCCUCAUGUCUCCUCGUGAAUCCUCCUGUUAACCCUGUGGCCGAUUUGUUUUUAUUUCACCAGAUCUAAAACAACAAUCGUUUAAUGAAUUCGAUUCAUAGGAGUAUUGAGAAUCGAAAGAGAACCCAGCAAAGUUUAAUUCAAUUGUUUAAAGUU